GCAAGUCGAGCGGAUCGAUGGGAGCUUGCUCCCUGAGAUCAGCGGCGGACGGGUGAGUAACACGUGGGUAACCUGCCUGUAAGACUGGGAUAACUCCGGGAAACCGGGGCUAAUACCGGAUAACACCUACCCCCGCAUGGGGGAAGGUUGAAAGGUGGCUUCGGCUAUCACUUACAGAUGGACCCGCGGCGCAUUAGCUAGUUGGUGAGGUAAUGGCUCACCAAGGCGACGAUGCGUAGCCGACCUGAGAGGGUGAUCGGCCACACUGGGACUGAGACACGGCCCAGACUCCUACGGGAGGCAGCAGUAGGGAAUCUUCCGCAAUGGACGAAAGUCUGACGGAGCAACGCCGCGUGAGUGAAGAAGGUUUUCGGAUCGUAAAACUCUGUUGUUAGGGAAGAACAAGUGCCGUUCGAAUAGGGCGGCGCCUUGACGGUACCUAACCAGAAAGCCACGGCUAACUACGUGCCAGCAGCCGCGGUAAUACGUAGGUGGCAAGCGUUGUCCGGAAUUAUUGGGCGUAAAGCGCGCGCAGGUGGUUUCUUAAGUCUGAUGUGAAAGCCCACGGCUCAACCGUGGAGGGUCAUUGGAAACUGGGGAACUUGAGUGCAGAAGAGGAAAGUGGAAUUCCAAGUGUAGCGGUGAAAUGCGUAGAUAUUUGGAGGAACACCAGUGGCGAAGGCGACUUUCUGGUCUGUAACUGACACUGAGGCGCGAAAGCGUGGGGGAGCAAACAGGAUUAGAUACCCUGGUAGUCCACGCCGUAAACGAUGAGUGCUAAGUGUUAGAGGGUUUCCGCCCUUUAGUGCUGCAGCUAACGCAUUAAGCACUCCGCCUGGGGAGUACGGUCGCAAGACUGAAACUCAAAGGAAUUGACGGGGGCCCGCACAAGCGGUGGAGCAUG
rnacentral:rRNA from 2 species